AGCACUUUGGGAGGCCAAGACAGGCAGAUCACCGGAGGUCAGGACUUUGAGACCAGCCUGGCCAACAUGGCAAAACCUGUCUCUACUAAAACUACAAAAAUUAGCUGGGUGUGGUGGCAGGCUCCUGUAAUCUCAGCUACUUGGGAGGCUGAGGCAGGAGAAUCACUUGAACCUAGGAGGCAGAAAUAGCUACAACGCUAUCUGUAUGAACAUGGAAAUAUCUACACCUCUAUCUGUGUAAACAUGCAUACAUCUUCACCGCUAUCUGUAUAAACAUGGAAAUAUCUACACAGCUAUCUGUAUGAACACGGAAAUAUCUACACCGCUAUCUGUUUGAACAUGGAAAUAUCUACACCGCUAUCUGCAUGAAAAUGGAAAAAAUGGAAAUAUCUACACAGCUAUCUGNNNNNNNNNNCAGAUAGCUGUGUAGAUAUUUCCAUUUUCAUGCAGAUAGCGGUGUAGAUAUUUCCAUGUGUAAAGAGAUAGCUUUGUAGAUAUUUCCAUGUAUAUGCAGAUAGCUGUGUAGAUAUUUCCAUUUUCAUGCAGAUAGCGGUGUAGAUAUUUCCAUGUUCAAACAGAUAGCGGUGUAGAUAUUUCCGUGUUCAUACAGAUAGCUGUGUAGAUAUUUCCAUGUUUAUACAGAUAGCGGUGAAGAUGUAUGCAUGUUUACACAGAUAGAGGUGUAGAUAUUUCCAUGUUCAUACAGAUAGCGUUGUAGCUAUUUCUGCCUCCUAGGUUCAAGUGAUUCUCCUGCCUCA
rnacentral:lncRNA from 1 species